GGGUCCAUAGCUCAGUGGUA
rnacentral:siRNA from 1 species